AUCCUGAACAAUACCAUCAGCUCUGACUGCCUGCAGAAGCAGACUUGCAUGAGCAUAAGCAGCACGGGGCUACCUCAAGCCACGGUUCAACUCUGACUGCAGGUCUGACAAUGGGUCACUCACCUGUCAUACCUGCAAUGGACCUGCACAGGGGCUAAACCUCCACUCAGGGUAGAGGUUGAGGGCCCUGUACCACAGGCAGAGCAGCUAUGUGGGCGCAGGAGUUGGAGGACUGAGUGAGUGUUUUGCAGAGAGAACUGCAGUGGGGCGUGAUUGACAGGAAUGGUGUACUCGUAAUGGAUUCCAUAAUUUUGGUCAUGAAAUAACAGCACCUGGAUCAGCAGCAAAGAUCAAAGGCCAUUUUGAAAUGGAGCAGAAGUCUACAAGCUUGCAGAAUUGGCGAACGAAGCCACACUGUGGCUGGCUCUCUCUACCAUAGAAAGUACAGAUAACUUUCCUACUUUCGAGGGACAUCUGGGGCUGGGUCGGGGCCGGAAUGGUACUGGGAAGUCUCGGAAGCCAGGAUCAGAAGCUGAGGGACUCGCUUGCUGCUGCUUUGAUGGAAGAACCAUGCCACUGACUGUGGAAUGGGGCUUGCUCCUGGGAUACUGAGAUCAGGUCAAAGGCAAUGUCUGCCAUCCUCCAAGGCCUGGUGCCCCCCAAGGGGCAGAAAUUCUUCCAGGUCAGCGUUGGAAGAGAGGAAGCACUUGUUCAAGCUGCCAUCUUAGAAAGUUUAGCAGUGUCUGUCAGUCUUGACAGCAAAUGCCUGGGCAUUGUUAUAGAUCCAGCUCUGGAAGUUUUACAAAUUCCUGUUCUACCUGAUGCUUAGGGAGACUCAGAUGUAAACACAGUUCGGUCUGAGGGCUGAAGUCAGUUGUCUCACUUCAUAUGCCCUGAUCCUGAUUCCCAGGCAGGAUGAUUUUAACCAGCUGGGGUGUGGUCCUCUAGUGUGAUUCCUUCCAGACACUUCCCAAUGCCAUGGGGAAUGGCAACACUGGCUCAACUCAACAGCCCGCCAGUGGUCCCGGCACUACUCUCUCCUCACAGAGGGAGGCAAGGAGUUCUGAUU